GACGUAGGGCGCGAGCGUUGUCCGGAUUUACUGGGCGUAAAGAGCUCGUAGGUGGUUUGUCGCGUUGUUCGUGAAAACUCACAGCUCAACUGUGGGCGUGCGGGCGAUACGGGCAGACUGGAGUACUGCAGGGGAGACUGGAAUUCCUGGUGUAGCGGUGGAAUGCGCAGAUAUCAGGAGGAACACCGGUGGCGAAGGCGGGUCUCUGGGCAGUAACUGACGCUGAGGAGCGAAAGCGUGGGGAGCGAACAGG
rnacentral:rRNA from 1 species